CUGGAGUGGGUUGCCAUUUCCUUCUCCAAUGCAUGAAAGUGAAAAGUGAACGUGAAGUCGCUCAGGUUGUCUACUUGAAAGUUAUACUGUCGUGUCCGACUCCUAGCGACCCCAUGGACUGUAGUCUACCAGACUCCCCUGUCCAUGGGAUUUUCCAGACAAGAGUACUGGAGUGGGGUGCCAUUGCCUUAAGUUUAGAACAGUUUGUUAAAAUGUUAAGUGAAAAAGCUACACACCAGGUUUUAUAUGUGGAAUGAGUCUAAAGAAAACAUACGAAUAAACAAGAAGUGCUAGAAAAAUUCAGGCAAGCGAGGCAAUUCAUGUUAAUGACGCUUGCUUUCUUCUUUCCUGUGUGGGGUGCCGCACCUAGACCAGCUGACCUCAGGCGGCGGGUCAGCUCCCGGCCCCGCCCACCUCUGCACAUGCGCAUGGAGGCCCUCUACGGCCACGCCACUGCUGCUGACCCAUGCUCCUGCUGCUGCUCUGAUGGAAUGGAGUGCGGACGCAUGUGUUUCUGUCGCUGUGAAUUUUAAUGAGGUUACACUGACUUAGACCCUUAAGAGUUUCUGGGCUGGGCCUGGCCUAGCAAUGGCUCUGCACAAUUUAGUGAGUCGUAAGGAGUGCUGUCACUGUUCUCUGGGUGCUGGGCCCCAGGAGUCACAGAAGGGCUCCAUCAGCACACAGAAUGCAGAAGCGUGCGGUGAGUGCAGGUGUAAUCCAUUGCGGAAUUCUGCCCCCGUGUGUGUGUCCUACUGAGAAAAAACUCGUGCUGACUUCAACGGAAAUCGCCAUAUGCUUUGAUCCUCAGGCUAUUUAGAGCUCUCCCUGGCUCUCACCUGAUCUUCAAUGAUACGGGAAGAUUAAGUACCAGGAUCGGAAAAGAUAUGGGAGAGAACUGGUUGGAGCACACUCGAGUUCAGUAGAUGUGGAAACACGUGCCCUCAGGUUGUCCGUUUUAUUGGUGUAUAGUUUCUCACGCUGCUGCUGCUAAGUCGCUUCAGUUGUGUCUGACUCUGUGCGACCCCAUAGACAGCAGCCCACCAGGCUCCCCUGUCUGGGAUUCUCUAGGCAAGAACACUGGAGUGGGUUGCCGUUUCCUUCUCCAAUGCAUGAAAGUGAAAAGUGAAAGUGAAGUCGCUCAGUCGUGUCCGACUCUUAGCGACCCCAUGGACUGCAGCCUACCAGGCUUCUCCGUCCAUGGGAUUUUCCAGGCAAGAGUACUGGAGUGGGGUGCCAUGGCCUUCUCCGAUAGUUUCUUAUAGUAGCCUCUAUAAAUUCUUUGUAUUUUUGUGGUGUCCACUGUAACAUCUCCUUUUUUAUUUCUGAUUUUAUUGAUUUGAGUCAUUACCCACCCCCCCACCUUUUUUUGGAUGAUGAGUUUGGCUAAAGGUUUAUCAAUUUUGUUAAUCUUCUCAAAGAACCAGAUUUUAGUUUCAUUGAUCUUUCUAUUGUUUUCUUCAUCUCUAUUUCAUUCAUUUCUGCUCUGAUCUUGUGAUUUCCUUCCUUUUACUAACUUUGGGUUUUGUUUUUCUUUCUCUAGUUGUUUUAGGUGUAAGGUUAGGUUGUUUCCUUGAGAUUCUUCAUGUUUCUGGAAGUAAAAUUGUAAUGCUAUAAACAUCCCUUUUCCUCUUCUCUGAAGUACCUGCUUAAAUUAUUUAUCAAUUUUUUUCUACUGAAUUUCUUGUGUCUUUCAUAUAG
ensembl:lncRNA